rnacentral:rRNA from 1 species
AGUGGGGAAUAUUGCACAAUGGGCGCAAGCCUGAUGCAGCCAUGCCGCGUGUGUGAAGAAGGCCUUAGGGUUGUAAAGCACUUUCAGUCGUGAGGAAAGGUGUGUGCUUAAUACGUACAUACUGUGACGUUAGCGACAGAAGAAGGACCGGCUAACUCCGUGCCAGCAGCCGCGGUAAUACGGAGGGUCCGAGCGUUAAUCGGAAUUACUGGGCGUAAAGCGCGCGUAGGUGGAUUGGUCAGUCAGAUGUGAAAGCCCAGGGCUCAACCUUGGAACUGCAUCUGAUACUGCUAGUCUAGAAUACGGUAGAGGGUAGUGGAAUUUCCUGUGUAGCGGUGAAAUGCGUAGAUAUAGGAAGGAACACCAGUGGCGAAGGCGACUACCUGGACCGAUAUUGACACUGAGGUGCGAAAGCGUGGGGAGCAAACAGGAUUAGAUACCCUGGUAGUCCACGCCGUAAACGAUGUCUACUAGCCGUUGGAAGACUUGAUCUUUUAGUGGCGAAGCUAACGCGAUAAGUAGACCGCCUGGGGAGUACGGCCGCAAGGUUAAAACUCAAAUGAAUUGACGGGGGCCCGCACAAGCGGUGGAGCAUGUGGUUUAAUUCGACGCAACGCGAAGAACCUUACCAACUCUUGACAUCCAGAGAAGAGGCUAGAGAUAGCUUUGUGCCUUCGGGAACUCUGAGACAGGUGCUGCAUGGCUGUCGUCAGCUCGUGUUGUGAAAUGUUGGGUUAAGUCCCGUAACGAGCGCAACCCUUGUCCUUAUUUGCCAGCACGUAAUGGUGGGAACUCUAAGGAGACUG